rnacentral:sRNA from 1 species
GGCGUACUUUCUCCGAACAGGAGCCUCG